rnacentral:rRNA from 1 species
GACGAUGAUCCCAGCUUGCUGGGGGAUUAGUGGCGAACGGGUGAGUAACACGUGAGUAACCUGCCCUUAACUCUGGGAUAAGCCUGGGAAACUGGGUCUAAUACCGGAUAUGACUCCUCAUCGCAUGGUGGGGGGUGGAAAGCUUUUUGUGGUUUUGGAUGGACUCGCGGCCUAUCAGCUUGUUGGUGAGGUAAUGGCUCACCAAGGCGACGACGGGUAGCCGGCCUGAGAGGGUGACCGGCCACACUGGGACUGAGACACGGCCCAGACUCCUACGGGAGGCAGCAGUGGGGAAUAUUGCACAAUGGGCGAAAGCCUGAUGCAGCGACGCCGCGUGAGGGAUGACGGCCUUCGGGUUGUAAACCUCUUUCAGUAGGGAAGAAGCGAAAGUGACGGUACCUGCAGAAGAAGCGCCGGCUAACUACGUGCCAGCAGCCGCGGUAAUACGUAGGGCGCAAGCGUUAUCCGGAAUUAUUGGGCGUAAAGAGCUCGUAGNCGGUUUGUCGCGUCUGCCGUGAAAGUCCGGGGCUCNACUCCGGAUCUGCGGU